rnacentral:rRNA from 1 species
AACGAACGCUGGCGGCAGGCCUAACACAUGCAAGUCGAGCGGACCCUUCGGGGUUAGCGGCGGACGGGUGAGUAACGCGUGGGAAUAUGCCCUUCUCUACGGAAUAGUCCUGGGAAACUGGGGGUAAUACCGUAUACGCCCUAUGGGGGAAAGAUUUAUCGGGGAAGGAUUAGCCCGCGUUGGAUUAGGUAGUUGGUGGGGUAAUGGCCUACCAAGCCGACGAUCCAUAGCUGGUUUGAGAGGAUGAUCAGCCACACUGGGACUGAGACACGGCCCAGACUCCUACGGGAGGCAGCAGUGGGGAAUCUUAGACAAUGGGGGCAACGCUGAUCGAGCCAUGCCGCGUGAGUGAUGAAGGCCUUAGGGUUGUAAAGCUCUUUCAGCUGGGAAGAUAAUGACGGUACCAGCAGAAGAAGCCCCGGCUAACUCCGUG